AGGUCGUGAUAGGUGGCAAUGUU
rnacentral:miRNA from 1 species